UAGGGAAUCUUCGGCAAUGGGCGAAAGCCUGACCGAGCAACGCCGCGUGAAUGAUGAAGGCCUUCGGGUUGUAAAAUUCUGUUAUAAGGGAAGAACGGCUUUAGUAGGAAAUGGCUAGAGUGUGACGGUACCUUAUGAGAAAGCCACGGCUAACUACGUGCCAGCAGCCGCGGUAAUACGUAGGUGGCAAGCGUUAUCCGGAAUUAUUGGGCGUAAAGAGCGCGCAGGUGGUUGAUUAAGUCUGAUGUGAAAGCCCACGGCUUAACCGUGGAGGGUCAUUGGAAACUGGUCGACUUGAGUGCAGAAGAGGGAAGUGGAAUUCCAUGUGUAGCGGUGAAAUGCGUAGAGAUAUGGAGGAACACCAGUGGCGAAGGCGGCUUCCUGGUCUGUAACUGACACUGAGGCGCGAAAGCGUGGGGAGCAAACAG
rnacentral:rRNA from 1 species